rnacentral:rRNA from 1 species
UACGAAGGGGGCUAGCGUUGUCCGGAAUCACUGGGCGUAAAGCGCACGUAGGCGGACUUUUAAGUCAGGGGUGAAAUCCCGGGGCUCAACCCCGGAACUGCCUUUGAUACUGGAAGUCUCGGGGCCCAGAGAGGUGAGUGGAACUCCGAGUGUAGAGGUGAAAUUCGUAGAUAUUCGGAAGAACACCAGUGGCGAAGGCGGCUCACUGGCUCGGUACUGACGCUGAGGUGCGAAAGCGUGGAGAGCAAACAGGAUUAGAUACCCUGGUAGUCCACGCCGUAAACGAUGGAAGCUAGCCGUCAGGUUGCAUGCAAUUUGGUGGCGCAGCUAACGCAUUAAGCUUCCCGCCUGGGGAGUACGGUCGCAAGAUUAAA